CAAGCACAGAGGCAACUUGAAAAGCACUCAUAUUCCAGCAUUCUCUAGUCGUAUGUGAAAAAGGUUAAGUUACAAAGUAGAUGAAUGUAACUCAGACUAUUAGACCAAGGAACCAACCUUAGAAAUCUACUCCAACAUUCUUACACUGAAUUUUUACGAUUGCUAAACCAGAUAAAAUAAAAUCCUGCAUCAAGCAAUCAUCUUCUUACAGGUGGCACAGUACCCCGACCAGGUGGUGCUCCACGACCAGCAGCCUGAGCUUUAGCUCGCAUAGCAAUAGCACGUCCCCGACCAACACCAAGUGAUGUACCUUUUCCCUUGAUUCUUGCUUCUAGCCGCUUGAACAUGGGAGCAUUCUUAAGCAUAUCAGGAAUUAUCAUGAACCUGACUUUGCUGCCUCGAAUGAAAACAUGCUCUAGUUGCGACACUCUCCCAUCUUUGGCAGUGUAAGUGAUGCUCUCGAGUUGGCAAUUCCAGUUAUCCUCGCACUCCACCAUACUUCCUCUGUACAGCUCUCCACUCUUCAUCUCUACUGUCACUAUAUGCCCUGUCGCUUCAUGUAGAAGCUUCACCGGUAUGCCCAAGCUCCGACUCAUGGCUGAUUCCUCCCGCUUUCCUUACUUCUCAGUAAACCUAACGUUGCUGGUUAGUGACCAGUGGGGAGUGCAGCUUCUUCUACUGUGACAG
rnacentral:misc_RNA from 1 species